AUUUUAUUUCCUUGUACGGCCUAGGACUCUUCAUAACCAAGGCGAACCCGUUUUAGUCCAGUUGCGUUCGUGGAUGCCGCACGAUACAUACAUUAAUUGAGAGUCUUCCCGUUUAGUGUUAUAUAGUUUAUGAUAUUUCGUUUGAUAGCUCUACUCCAGGAACAGCUAUGAAUCAAGGAAAGGUUUUAUUAAUAGUAACUUUACUGGUUCUGGUGGCCGUAGUGUAUCCGUUCGGAACAUCCCCUUGUCACACCGCGGGAGGCCAAUGUUACUGGUCUGGAACCAUGUGGUGCCGAGGAGAUGUGGCCAAAUUGAGCUGUGGAGAAAAAUUUCCGCCACUGCCCGACAAUCAGUACGACCUCGGCUAUGGGUGUUGUAUGGGGAAACCGAUGCCGUAUCUUUUCAAGUAGAAGAUACCAGAAGGGAUCAAAGUCAAUGGCAAAGAUUGGGAAGACAUUUUGUCAUUUUAAUGAGGACGUACCGUGCUUUUCAUUUAUGUUUAUGUAUGUUGUGAAAUACGCAAAACAGGACACUGAUAUUAAUAAUUUUACGUAAUCAUGACCAGAACACUCUUUUUGUCAAUCGUUGUCCACAUUUUGGUGUUAUUUUAACAAUAUAUCUGAAUAUUUCUGAAAUUUAACAUUUCAGUAAUUUACAGCGUCAAGUGAUUCAGAGACAAUUUCGGAAAUGUCAUCCACUCAGGAAAUAGGAUAUAUUAUCAAUUGGUACGAUAGCAUUUGAAAAUUGAUCAAAGCCAAGCAUUUGAUGAGUGACUGAAUUAACUUAUUAUACAAGGAUUUUCAGUGGGAACUGACCAAACCUCUGAAUACGUGGAACCUAUUCUGUAUGUGUGCGAGUGUCCAAUAAGUUCACAUGACGUUGUACGUUUUGCAAAUGUUUUAAUUUGGGGACCUAAGUCUCGAUCUACAUGUAGGUACUCUAUACUUUAUCUAGAUUUGAUGUCGCAUGGACCGCACGUAGAUAACUGAAUGGUUUCCUUAGAACUCAAGUCAGCACUCAAGGACAUCAGUUCUGUGAUUCACUCUUAUUCUCUAUCGAGCAUUGUAACCCCUAUAUUUAGAACAACACAUAAAAAUAAAAUGAGGAGGAUCUGCGAAAGGAU
rnacentral:lncRNA from 1 species